GAGGAGAAUCUGUGGAAUCCCCGACCCCACUCAAUCGUUGACUUCCAAAUCUCCAUAUUACCAUCAAUCUCCAGUGAAUGAAGGUUGGUGGGAAGGCCAUCUUCUUCAAGGCUUGGAAGCUCAACUCCUUUUCCUAUUGUUAAUUCUUGAAGAGAGGUCAGAUUGUGCAAUCCCUUGGGUAAGGCCUCUAGUCUCUCACAAUCAUAUAUGUCCAGCCUCGUGAGUUUCGCGCAAGGCAAUCCCCCUUCGGUAAAGGACACCAGAUUUUCACAUUCCCAUAUUUCGAUCUUUUGAAGCUGGCGGAGAUUAUGUAAACCACUCGGUAAAAUUUUCAGACUUUCACAAUUAGAAAUGUCGAUUGUUUCAAGAGAUGUGUUGUUGUCCAACCUUUCUGCUAUUGACUCCAGCUUUGAACAAUGAGAAACAUAAAGGGACCUAAGAGACGGAGGUAGAUUGCCAACUUCAAGGGACUCAAGCGUGGCAGGUAACUCAUUUUUUGAAAAUAUACAUGUCAGUGAUCGACAACUGCAAAUACGCAAUUCCUCAAGAAGAUAUGAGGUGUACCUUCUGCUGCUGCUACUACUCUGGAUGCCCUCUUCCACUGUCAAAGUCCUUAUAUUAUCGCAAUCGCUGAUUCUCAGCUGCUUGAGGCUCGGUGGUAGCUGGACUCCAGCAAUAUAUGUCAACGAAUGGCAAACCCAAAUCUCCAAGAUCUCGAGAGAUGAAUUGGUGUCGCACAUCCAUGCCUCUGGUAACGAUUUCAGUGCGUCACAACAAACAAUCCCAAUUUUCUUCAACUUGGAAGGCAGAGCAACCUCAGGAAAGGAAACGAGGGAACUGCAGCCGUAGAUUUCUAUCUCUCUCAAGGAACUGAGGCUGAGCGAUGAUUGUGGCAGCUUCACAAGGCCUUCGCAAUAACUCAAUCUUAGAUAUUCGAGUCUGCAUGACAACUCGCUGAGCUGCUGUUGUUGGUCUUUCUCUUCCUCCGCCACCAAGGAUUGAAGUUUGGGACAGCUUCUUAUCUCCAGACUUUUGAGAGAGCAAAUGUCUUGCAGUAAUUCGUUAUGACUCUUCCAUAUAUAUGUCUGCUCUUUCAUAUCAUUUAUCUUCAAUUCUUCCAAUUUUGGCAGUCGUGGCUUUAAUGGCCCUGCGAGAAACACUUGAUUUGAUGUAUCUCUACAAACCACUAAAUUCUGUGAGCCGAGAUGAUCAGUUGCACUUCUCCACACAAUCUUUUUACAUCCACCAAUCUUUAAUUUGCAAAGAGCUGGAAGACUCGAAAUUGAAACUGACAAUUCUUCACAUCCUUUAAUAACAAGCUUCUCCAAUGCAGGAAGGUGCUCUGGAAAUGUUCCUUUCAGUUUAGAACAUCUUAAAAUGUGAAGCUCUCUCAAUUUAGGAAACCCUUCAACUCUUUGACUGGAUCCAUGAGGAAUCCAGUCUUCCCAUUCUCGCAUGUUUUCAAAACGAAGAGUCUCCAAGCAUGGAAAAGGAAUUGGAGGAUCAUUCCCAUAGAACUCUGAACCCAACCUCUUUACACUAGUCAUUCCACAUACUGCAAGAUGCUUUAGAGAGGGUAGUUGCCCGACUGACGGCAGGGUAGGACACAUGCCACAAUAUUCAAAUUUUAAGGUCACCAACUUUGAGAAUGAGGAAUCUCCGAACCAAGUUGGAAAUUUUGCACCUCUAUAGCCGCUGAUACAAAAUUGUUCCAAAUUUUUAUUGGGUUCUAGCAUGUCAAGCACGUCCUUUUCAAUUUCCGCCUCCCUUGAAGACGAGCCAUCGGUACUGAGUGUCCAUCGAAGCAAUAAUUCUCUAAGAUUCUUCUUUCCAUCCAAUUGAGCCUCCUUUGCAUCACCAACGUCUUUUACAUUCUCCAAUUUUGAAAUGUUAAGUGUCCCAUGAAGGUGCGUCAACAACUUUAGCUCUCGUAACCCGGAACCACUGCCUUUUCCCACAACAAAAUUACACAACGUCUGAAGACUAGUCAACCUACCAAUUCCUACUGGCAUUUCCUCCAACGACUUCGUAUUUGAAUUCUUAAGAUGAUGCAAUUUGGCGAGGUUUCCCAUGUCUGCACACAACUUCUUCAGCCGAUCACAAUCUUCCAACAAAAGACUAUGCAAAUUGUAAAGCUUGUUGACUGAUUCAGGCAGAGUUCUAAUCUCAGUUGUAGACAGGUUAAGGUACCUUAAAUACCUCAAAUCACCAAUUGAAUCAGGCAGCUCAGGGAUGCAGUAUCCACGCAAAGAGAAGACCCUCAAGCGUCGGAGUUUGAGCAACUUAGGAAGAAUGCUAGGAGCCAAGAAGCCAGGCGAACUUUUUGUCAACAUUACUGGUAAAAAAGUUCUCAAAUGCUGGAUAUCAUACAAGUCCCCAAACCUUUUACCGCCAUCAAAAUAUUCAGGAAUGUAUGAUAGAUGACGAAGAUUUUCGGAAAAACUUUGCUGCUUGUAAAUUUCUGAGGUAUACUCCAUUGUGAAGUAUAUCUCCCCCGCAGCCCAACGGGCAAGGUCAUUGAUAAGAUCGUGCAUCACAAAUCGUGAUGUAUUGUUGCUUAAUUGCUGGAAAAAAGAUCUUGAACGUAGCUCUUGAAAGAACUUUCGACCUAGAACUUCGUUAGGAUUCCCACUCUCUUUAUGAACCAAGAAACCCGAAGCACUCCAUAAUAAAAUUAUCUCCUCCUCUUCAAAUUCAUAAUCCUUCGGAAACAACGAGCAGUAUGCAAAGCAUUGUUUCAAAAUUGGAGGAAGAUAAUAAUAGCUCACUGCAAGAGCUGGUAUAAUGGGACAUCUAUCUUCUGGUAAUUCCCAUAUCUUGCUACUGAGCACAUCUUCCCACACACCUCUGUCAUGUUCUCCACAUAAAAGUCCUCCCAGUGUUUUUGCUGCCAAGGGCAAGCCAUUGCAUUUGAUCACUAUCUUCUUACCAAUGUCCUCCAAUGACUUGUGUGAACUGAAAUCUCUUGUCCCCAAAGAGUGCUGAGCAAACACAGACAGACAAUCCUCAGUUGACAAGUUUUUCAAUUCAUAAGCUUGAUCCGGCCUCAUGAUUUUUGCAACCUGUUGAUUGCGAGUAGUGACAACAAUCUUACUUCCCUGUGCGCCAGCUUCAAACGGACGGCUCAUGUCAACCCAGUCAUUGUAAUUCUCAUUCCAAACGUCGUCUAAAACGAGCAAAAAUUUCUUUUGAGAUAACUUCUUCUUCAGCUCCUCUUGAAGCAAAUUUAAAUCACUGUCAUCAAUAGUCUGCUUGGUAAUGGAUCUUAGAAUUGUUUUUGUUAGCCCCUUAACGUCGAAAUCCUCAGAGACACAAGUCCAUGCCUUGAGAUCAAAAUGAUCCUGCACUCGCUUAUCAUUGUAGACAAGCUGAGCAAGAGUGGUUUUGCCCAGGCCGCCCAUACCUAUAAUAGGAAUAACAGAGAAUCCACCAUCGUUGCUUAAAUCAUCCCUCAACAGCAGUUCAACAACAUCCUUCUUUUCUGUUUCCCUGCCAUAUACUUUGGCUUCAGUCACUAAAGAGGUUGUCUCCAGCCUUUGACUGGCUUUGUUGGACCCUCCAGCUGAACUUUCUUUCAAAUCUAGCAAGUUUUUCUGUGUCACAAUUUCUUGAAAUCUGCUGUUGAUCUCUUUGAUUUUGGACAUCAAGCCAUAAUCGAACUGAAUCGAUUGUGGAGUAAAAGUGGUGCAGCAAGCAGGAAUGAGCUUCCGAAACUUACUUGUUCUGGCACGACUGCUACUGGGUUGAUCAUGAGCAGCAGCUGGUUCUCCAUUUCCAAGCAGCAACAUCCUCCGGAAAGCCUCAGUUUGAAACUCAUCCAACAAGUCUUCAACAUCAUAAGCCAAGUUCUGAAGCUUGCCAAGCCACUUCUUCACAGACCGAUUAGUUGUCUUCUUCUCCUCAGCAUCAUCAAGCACCGCCUUGAUCAUCUCCAACAUAUUCUCCCACUUCAUUAGAUAGUCUUGGAUCUUCUCUUGGCGUGCAAAAAACAGAAUCCCCUCUGAAGCUAACUUAUUGACCAGCAAAUCAACAGAUGCCGUAAGGAUUGCCUCUCCGAUGAUCGACAUUUUUUUUCUUUUUUUUGGGCAAAGGAAGAAAGGAGCAGAAUUAUGGGUUAUGGAAAGCAGAAUGAGAAUAUUGAACGGGUGAGAAAAUGGAUAAUUAAGCGGAAUGAGUUUGUGAUUGUGAAGGGUCUGGUACAGCAAGCUUAGUAGAAAUCACGCGUUUGUACUUUAUUGACCAAUGACUAAAUAAUUUGGCAAUGCACCCACCACCACCACUUGGUGAGCAAAAUGAAAAAGUUUAAUAAGUGGAGGGGUCCAGCAAAAUACGACGUAAAAUGUGGCAAGUCUCCCCACUUGUUGUUCGUUGCAGCUAAGAAAAGAAAAAACAGAGCCCACCACCCAUUAAUAAUUUAGCAAAUCACCAAUCAUCACAAAAUUCCAUUAGAUAUUCGUCGAUCAAGUAGUUAAUCCAGUGUCUGCUACGUAGAGCCUUCACUUUACAAAUCUUCAACUCAUAAACCAAGUUAAAUCAAGACGUUUCUCUCUCUGUAUAUAUUUUUUUUAACUCCUAAAACGUUUCUUUUUAGAAAUAUAUUACUUUAUUCAUCUAAUAUGUUAUCUAACAAAUAGACACAGAUGAAAUCACUCUAAAGUGAAGAUGAAAGGGGAAAAAAAAAACAUUCCAACCACCAAUAAUUUAGCAAGCGUCACUUUUAUUCCACCAAAGUGUAAAUAAAGCCAGCCCCCACCACCAUCGAUAAUUUUGCAAGCUUCACACGCUUGUUGUCUUCUCCUUGACGAACUGGACGGGGUGGACCAAGAAUCAAUGAAAGAAUUUUAAAAAUAAUAAUAAAAGAAAAACAUAAACAUUUUGGACUCAGAGUAGAACCGUAAUUAAUGCUAAAAUUUACUCCGCUAACGUUUUCAAAAUAUUGUUCUUUACAAUUGUACAGCAAAUAAGACUAAGUUUUGGACAUUUUCAUAUUCACUUACUUUCAAAAGCAGUAUUUCGAAACAUUUUACAGAAUCAAGUAACAGUUAUAUAACGAGAAAAGUGCAAAGUUGUGUAAUUCUAAUGUUUAUUUUAUCACUGACACUCAGAUCAUUUUUUAUUUGGGUCGCCAACUCGCCAAUGAACCCAUGAUUGAAUAAGUGUUUAGAAAGAAAAUCAAUAAAAAACAGUUUUUUUUUUGUCGUCGAAAUAUAGUAAGUGAGAAAGAUUAUUCUGUUUUUUUUGUUAAUUAGGUUAGUAAUUAUGAUUGAGUGACUCAGAACUAUAUUCUAGAUUGAGAAUCAAUGGUUCUCCCACACUGAGAGGCUGUAAGUUUAAGAUUGUCGUUUGCUAUUUCAUCAACAAGAGAACACUUGAAUUUAUUAAAAAGAGAAGGCCAUAAAAGUUUUCUUUUAUGAGAAAUGUAUCUGAUCAUUCCUUUUUACUUGAAAAUUUCAUAUAUAAAAACUCAUUAAUAAAUGACAGAAUAUACAUAAAUUAUUAAUUCAUUUGAUAGUUGAUUAUCGAAGGACAUGUGACCCAUGGGAGCAUGCAGACUAUAAAAUAAUUCUUUUUUUUAUUAAACAAAAAAUCGGUGAUGUUGAAAAGCAAUAUUAAUUCGACUGAUAAUUGGGGUGAACAUUCAUAAAAAGAAUGCCGUAUGAAACUAAAUUAUUAAUUCGUUUGACAUGUGACCCACAAUAAAUAGUUAAAUUUGGCGGCAACAAUAAUUACAAGACGAACUUAAAGCAGCGCAUAGGUUUUUCUUAAAAAUACAUAAACAAUUCGAUAUUUGAAAUUCUAAUAUCUCAAUAAUCUAGUUAUCCUGUAUUUAGAUCCACAUACAAUUUCUUUUUUUCUUUUUUCUGAUUUCCAAUCGUUACCAAAAGAAAAUAUUUAGUGAUCCCUUUUAUCAACUUGGUUUUAUUGACUUUCUUCCAAUCAUAGAAGUGAAAAGAGAAACAGAGGCCAGCACCAAUAAGUGUUGUGUUACCAGAUUCUGUAAAGACAAAAUCAGUGCCCAGCAAAAAGAAGCAAUGUUUUCGUUAUAUGCUGCUUCCUAUUUAGUACAUGCAUAUAAAGAUAUGCACGUGCACAUGCAGCACAUCUAUCUAAAAUUUAAAAAAAGUAAUUAGAAAUACAGGAAUUAUGGUAGAAAUAUAACAGGAAUAAGAGUGAAAUUACAAUUUUAAAAUUUGGGAGAAAUGAAAUGCGAUAUUUUUUUUAUGAAUAAAAUAAUUUAAUUUUUUUUAAUUCUACCAGCAAAAACCAUUAACUUAUCAAGUUAUUGGUUUCAUUCACAGUUAACAGUCGGUUUCUUAGUUUCAUUCCUUAAUUCUACAAGAAAAAAACAGAAUACUUGACAUUUACUAUUUGACAAUUUUUAAGAAAUGUCAAGCAUAUAUGACAUUUUGUGAAAAACUGAGUAAUUGUGAAAUAUAAAUGACAAUUUAUUUAAACGUCAAAUAAUUGUGACGUUUUAUCAAAUAAAUGAUAAAUAUAUUACAUAUUUAUUAAAUAAUUAUCAUUUACCUUUUCCUUUUAUUGACUUGAGAAAAAAACAAAAACAUUGACUAUACUGCUUUUGUUUUCGUUCUUAGAACAGAUUUUAGUUUCUUUUGAGAAAAUUCAAACUCAUUCCCAUUACUUUCUUUUCAAUAAUCACCUCUCAGUUUUUCAUCAAUCACUCAAUACCGAAUUACAUCUCCAUUCUCUUUCGAAGAAGAACGCACGAAGAAUUUUAGCUUGCUUUCGCUGCUUCUCGAAUAUUGGGUAUUGUUUCCUUUAAUUUAGAUAAUUUUUUUUUUUAUAUCUCUCUUUCUAGUUUGAUAAUUUAUGGUUAUACUUGAAUUAAUUGUAUUUUUAAUCAACCAAGGUUGAUUUAAUUGAUUCCAAGUCUCAAUUUCCUGUUCAACAAACAAGGAACGCACAAAUAAUUUUCAUUUUCAUACUCAAUUUUGAAAGAAUCAAUUUAUUUUAUCUUUGGUUAGUACACUUCUGUUCAAUUUUUGUUUAUUUAACUUAAGAUAUCUUUUUCUUUCUUUUCUUCAAGCAGAUUAUAGAUUAUAUUGAGAACAGAGCUUUCUCCUUAAUUCCGCCAAGAGCAACGUUGAUUUCAGGUGAUAAUUGAAUGUGUAAUAUUUUCAAUUGAAAUUAAUUGAGUCUCGUAAUAAUAAUAGGGAUUUGAGAUUUACAUCCUGUUGAAAUGAUUUUAGAGUGUUUUGCUAUUUGAAUGCGUAUUAAUUGUUCCUCUGUUUCAAAUCCAAAUCCACUGGUCUACUAUUCAUUAUGACAAUGCAUAUGCCGAUAUUGUCUUCCAUCCUUUGUGUACCUUUCAAUUUAGUGAGGUUUAGACAGGGGUUCCAGAUUUGGUAAAUCAACAAUCACCAGAUAUGUAGAGCGGCCGGAAGAGGAAGCAUGGUUCCUAAUCCUAAUCUUGAUUUAGAGCAGAUUAGGUAACAUGUGACAUUCUACAUUCUUGCAAUGCCAUUUCUUGUUAUGGCAGCGGCAUUCUUGGUCAUGGCAUCACAAGCAAAUGCUUUGAUUUGAAGACUUGCUUGGCUAUGAAAAAUAAGGAGAGCAAAGGUAAUUAAUCUUGGUGUGAUCAACAUUUUUAUGGGGGUACUAAGAAAAAUAAAGAUAAUAUAAGGAAUGUUGUUGAGGAGUAUUUUCAUAUUUACACAAGUAUUCAAAGUAAAAAUUGAUUUCUUAAAACCCAUUAGCUAGCGCACAUAAUAAUGGGGAGAAAAUUUUAGACUACGAAUGGUCCCGCCCAUUUAAUAAUAUUCUUCAAUCAAUUAUGUUUACUUCAAAAAAAAAAAAACCUAUCUCUUUAUUACUUUCUAACUAUUCAUAUUAAUGUGUUAAUAAUUAUGAAGAACCGGUGUAAUUUAUAUGAUGUAGGAAGCACUUUAGGCAAAAUCAUUUGAAUCUCAAAAUUUCGUGAUAUUGUGCCAAAUAUCGAAAACAGAGCUUCCUAUCACAGAAAUUAGGAAUCACUGGAGAGUAGAGUUACGUGACUGAAUAGUAUCAUAUCACAGAAACUCAAAACUCAAAAGUGCAAUAACAUUGAACAUUCAGCUGGCUAGCUUAUAUUGAUUAAUUAAUACUACUACUAGUUCUUUAUGAUUAAUUAAAAGAUAAAAUAUUUGACAAUCACGAAACAUUAUUCCAUCACUGAAGAGUAGAGCUUCCUACAUUGUUACCCAAGCUCUUUUAUAUCUCCCAAACAUUAUUAGAGUCCCACAUUUGUGGGCACAUCAUUAAGUAAAAUGUGCCAAUUAGGAAGAACUGGCUUCUUUGUUUUGUUUUCUGGGAUGUGUUGCAAUUUUCAAGUAUCAUUCAAAAUUUUACACCAUCAACACAGGAAAAUUAUAUAUAUUCUGUCAGCACUUGCAUAUGUUGCAAGUGCUGACAGAACUUUUCAUUUGAUUUGAUAAUUGGCUAAGGGUGAUUUCGAUAACGUUUCCAAAGAAGACAUAGAACAAAGAUCAAAAAGAAAAAUAAGUAAUUUGAUCAGUCGAUGCAAAAAAUGAGCGAGCUUCGUAGUCUGACUAACAGGAAAUGGCUUGGAGCAAGGAUCAAUGGACAAGUUUGAGGUUUAUGAAUAAACAGAACAGAGGAAAUAAGUGAUCAAUUUAUUACUUCGUGCAAUGGCCACAGCAACAGCGAAAAUAUGUCUACAUGACUACAUUAUCCGACUGGCAUGGUACUAUAACCGUGCAGCAUUACACUAACAUUUCCUUAUCAAUCAAUUUUGAUGGUAUGAUAUUAAAAACAUAGAUUUCAUAAUUUUAUGUAAUUCAAAGAAAAGAUAUAAUUGAUUUGAGUUAGUUUAACAUAUAAGGAAAGAGUAAUGGGGAAUGAUGUUGAUGUGGCAUGUGAUGAGUAAAGAUAGACAACAAAUAUUGAUCGUGUAAUAAUGAAAUAUGUAUUUAUUGAAAAUAAAUUGACAAUUAAAAUUAAUAGAUAUAUAUCCAAUGCAUCGAGUUUAUUUUAUCACUUCGCUAACCAUUUUGUAACUACAUGUUAAUUAGAAGUUCAAUUAAUUUUGACCAAAGACUCUAGAGAAUGUCGAAAAGAGAUUUGAUUUUUGUCUUAAAAAAAAUUAGAAAUGAAAUAAGUCAAAAUCAAUCACAAGAACAACAACAAGAGCAUAUUUUAUAAAACCACAAAUACAUAAUAUAAAUUUAGUUUCGAAUUAGAUAAUUAUUAAUUUGUAUUGUAAGAGAGUCUUAUAGAAAAAUAGGAAUUUUUUAAAAGGAGAUUUGCUUAAGGAACAACUUUAGUUAAUGGAAGGAAAUACAAGUUUGAUUUUGACAAAGUAAUCACUAAAAUAUUUGACAAGUUUGAGAUGUUAAAAAACUGGAAAAAUAGACAAAUAAUGAAAACCCUACAAGUUGGCAAAGCGAAUAAACAGAGGAAAACAGAGCAAAUAUUUACCGUUAUACAUAUAUUUUUUUAUUUUUUUCCGAAAAAGAAUGUUGCGAUAUUUUUUCCCAAAAAGAAGCACAGUUUGAUAUUACUACCAAAGAACUUUAGCUACCAUAUAUAAGCACGUGUCUAAUUACCAAAUGAAUUCCGCUAUAACAAAGAAUAAAAGCUAAUUUCAUUGAUGGCAUAUGUCGUGCUUUCUUUUCUUUUAUUUUAUUGAAGUUACUUUGUAAACUGCUCCAAGCUAAAUACAAAAUUUACUCUUACACUAGGAUCUUUGCAAUGGUCCAGCAAUUUGUAUUUCCAUUCGGUGAGGUUGGUUUUUUUCUUUAAAGUUGGGAAGUCCAUGUUUGCCAUCAAGAGUACGAUUAAAGAAGAGAUGUUACAAUACACAAAAAGGAAAAAAAAUGCCCAAGGAAGCUUGGGACACUUUUGCAAUGAUUUUUUUUCAAUGAAGAAUAACACACAACUACAACUUUUGGACAAUGAGUUACAGUCAAUUUCACAGCAAAGCAACUUCAAUAACCGCAAAAUUUUUGGGUUAGAUCCUACUGUUGCAAUUUCUGAAUCCAGAAUGAAGAGAAUUAUUAUCCAUAGCUUGGUCAUAUACAAUAUGUGUGUGCGUGUGUGUAUGUGUGUGUAUUGGGAUGUCACAGGCCCUAAAAGAUACAGCUGAACAUCAAUCCUAAAUCUAAAGUGAAAAACAGUAGCUAGAACAUAAUCUUUGUUUUGAUGUCUUUGUUUAUAAGCUCAAACAAUUGACAGUAUAGAAAAUGCAUGAUAGAACAUAGAACUCAUAUUUUAGCAAUAAUCCUAAGCUCACUGGCCCUUAGUUCAAACUGGCAGUUCUUAUUAGUCAAAGAAUCAAAUUGACUUUUAGUUGUAUAUAAGUAGAGCACUAGAUCAACAAAUAAUUGAAGACUUGCUUGGCUGUGGAACCAUAGGAAGGCAAUUCGUGAACAGCCUUGAUAUUUCAUUUGGUUUUAUUUAAUUCUUUGUAAAGUCGUAUUGUAUGUAAAAUUUUUGUUAAAUGAAAUCGGUAUGUGAAGAGAAUUUUUAAAAGCAACCAUCAAAGUCACGAUCAAAGGGACGAAAUCAGUAUAAAUAUUGAUUGUCUCAAGUUAGAUUAUACAAAGAUGAAAUAAUUCUAAUCUAGAAAAUUCGAUCAUUAUAAUUUGAUUUCCAUUAUAUUAAUUAUGUUCAAUCUUGCUAUUUUAAUGAAGAACACUCGAGGAUUUAUAUACACUCAGCUUAUGAAAUUAAUUACAAAACGAUCUUUGACCAAGUCUGAUGAAAAGAUCAUAUUAUAAGUGCAAAGUUACACUUCCCGAUCAUGCAACUAUCCAUCGAAUUGUGUAUUGUGUUAUCGUUGAGCUCUUAGGAAGAUUCAGCUGCUGAGGAGAAGAUGUAAUCUGUUUUUAUGUGACAAGCCAUGUACUCUGCUUUUAUGGUGUUUCUCUUGGUAGUUUUGGACAAAACUGUAAUGUAAAUUUCUAUCUUAAGGGAUUCCUAAUCCUUUUAGUUAGUUUGGGAUUGUUGAUUUAUCUAUGAUGUUUGGUAUCCAAAAUUCAGGUGAUGAUAAUCUUCGCAGUACUUUUGUCAAAUUUUCUUUUAUGUUGGUGUUGUUUUAAUUAAAUAUCACAAAGGUGCAAAAUGCGGUAAAAUUAACAUUGAGCUCAUGAGAUUGCCAUUAGAUAUAUUGAAAAAGAAAUUGAUACAAGAAACUGAAAAUUAGUUGUUAAUUAUGAUGGGAAUAUAAUCUUUGAAUUAUAAUUAUAUCUAUCUAACGCAUGUGCACUAAUCUUAUUUAUCUCUAUCACUGAAAAAGCAGAGUGGCCUGAUUGAAUAGUAUCAUAUUAUGUCACAGCAAUCACAAAAACUCACUCAACAUUAUGCUAAUUUAUACUAAUUAAUUAAUACGACUAACAGGAAAAGUUGGAUCUCGCCUUGCUAAAAAUCAGGUGAUUGUUUUUCAUUUUUGCGGCUACUUGACUCAAUUAUGUUAUUGCAAGAGGAGAUUUCUAUUUUGUCCGGUUUAAGCCAUAAGAUGGGUUUUAAGAUUCAUUCUGAUUGGUUAUCUGUUAGCUUUUUGUUUUAAGAACUUCUUAUUUACGAAAGCCAAAUUCUUCUUUCUAGGUUUAUUCAUAUUCAGAAGUUGCUUUUGUCAUAUCAGAAGAAGAGGCUAAGACUGUUGAAGUACUAGAAGGGACUACUGCGCUGAUUGCCUUUUUCAUGGGCUUCUAAUAUCCAAUGUUGAUUAUCUCUUCCAUUUGAACAUGAGAGUAAAAAGAUAGUUGAUAUUUAUGUUACAAAAGUUGGAAGCGACUUAAGCAAUUCAGUAUCAUGCGAGGACUAUAAUAAUAACCCCGAUUAUUUUGCCUCUUGGAUUUUUUUGUUAAUUCACUUGCUUUAUGCUUAUCCGACCUCUGAUUUUUUCUUAAUAUUUCUUUGUAGUUCACUUCACAGCACUUAUAGCCGCUGCAUUGGCAUUUUCUGCUAUUUGUUAUUGUUCAUUGAAGCUAGUUAGUUUACGAAAUUUCUUUUUGAUAAAUCUUCUUCAGAGGGUUGUGAGAGGCCAAAUCAAUUGAGAUGACCGGGUUUUCUAGAUCAGCCAUCUUUGUCGUCAACAGUGCUAAACUGUCAAUUACUGAGACACCAAACUCUAACCCGAUUCAUAUGGAUGUAGACUAAAGCUUCUUGCCGAUACCAUCCCAGUCAAAGCUGCUAUCUUUGAAAGUUUCGCAAGACAAAACAACGUUGGUUUCCCAGUCGACACAAAUACAGAUUUCAUAUGUGCAGAUUGCUCUCAAUCUCUGUUUAAUAAGCUAGUCCUCUGCUGUAUCCUAGAAGGUGGAACAAUACAUUAUGCUUCCCAGCAGGCUCCAAUGGGAUCUAUAUAUGUUUCUGCUGCCAAAUUUUUGAAAGCGAUCAUUGUGAAUAUCGCUGCCCAGUCUGAAGUGGGCUUUGAUACUUGUGACAAUACUCCAUCGAGGCUGUAAAGAAGCCGUGGGUGUACAUUUCUGGUCCAACAAUCAAUCUAACUGGCUUACUUUACAGCAACAAAGAGAUAGAAAAUAUAUUAACUGCUUGUGCAGAAUAUGGAGCAAGAGCUUAUUUAGUGUCGUGUCAAAAUAAAUAUAACAAAGUUUAAGCUGAAUAUAAAUUGUUAAUUACAGGCAGAGCAAGUUGAGUUUAAAAAAUGCGAAGCACCCAGUCCCAAAACAGAGAAGCUUGACGUUGGCCGGCAGGAUUAAUAUUAUUUUUUUUAACAACAAUCAAAGCCAGUCGGGAAUUUAUUAAGAGGUUAAUUAGUUGAAGUAUAAAAAAGGAAUUAGCAGGAUUCACGCCCGACCAAAUCCACAUGGCCAAAGCAAAGGAUUAAGUUUGAGAGAUUAUAAUGAAAUAUAAGUAAGCUUCGCACAUGCAUGCGUCUGACUGACAGAACAAAUGAAGGAAACAUAAACUUAUCAUUUUUAAGAUGUAAGCAUCAAAACAUUCGACAAGUUUGAGGUUCGUGAGAUAUUGGGAAAAUAUACAAAUAAUAAAGCCACUACAAGUUAAGCAGAGCAAAUAAACAGAGGAAAUAACUGAUCAAUUUAGUUCUUUGUGCAAUGGCCACAGCAACAGAGAAAAUAUGCCUACACGACUACAUUAAUCCUACUGGCGUGGUACUAUCACCAUGCAAAUUAACAUUAACAUUUCAUCAUCAAUCAGUUCUGAUGACAUGAUAUCAAAAACAUUGAUUUCAUAAUUUUAUGUAAUUUCAUAUAAAAGAUAUAUAUAGUUUAUUUGAGUUAGUUUAAAAUAUGAAGAAAGAGUAAUGGGGAAUGAUAUCGCUGUAGCGUGUGAUGAGUAAUGAUAGACACCAAAUAUGGAUCAUGUAAUUAUGAUAUAUGUAUUUACUGAAACAUAUUUGGCAAUAAAAUGAUGCUUUAAAAAUUUAAUAUUGUUUGCUUGAAAAUAAUUUGACAAUUAAAAGUAAAAGAUGUAUAUGCAAAACUUUGACCUUAUUUUAUCACUUCACUAACCAUUUUGUAAGUACAUCUUAAAUCGAAGUUCAAUUAAUGCUGACGAAAGACUCCAGAGAAUGUCGAGAAGAGAUUUGAUUUUGGUAUACCAAAAAAUUACAGAUGAGAUAAGUUAAAAUCAAUUACAAGAACAACAAAAAGAAUAUAUUUUAUAAAAGCCACAAAUACAUAUAAUAUAUAAUCAGUUUCGAAUUAAGUAAUUAUUAACUUAUAUAGUGAGAAAGUGUUAUAGGAAAGUUGGAAUUUUUUAAAAGAGAUUUGCAAAGGAAAAAGUUUAGUUUAGUUUAGUUUGCGAAGGCUCAAGUAAUUCAAAGCAAUUAGCAAUGCAAUUGAAGGAAAUAUAAACUUCUAAUUUUUACAAAGUAAUCGCUAAAAUAUUUGACAAGUUUGAGAUUUUCAAAAAGCUGAAAAAAAUAGACAAAUAAUGGAGACCCUACAGAUUGGUAGCGCAAAUAAACGGAGGAAAAUAUGGCAAACAUUUAUUUUUUCCAAAAAGAAUAAAAGCACGUGUCUAAUUACCAAAUAACUUCACUUUAAAAAAUAAUAAAUGCUAAUAUCAUUGUUAGCACAUGUUGUGCAUUUUUCAUUUAUUUAUUUGCUAUUACUUAUUGAAGUUACUUUGCAAACUGCUCCAAGCAAACUACAAAAUUUCUUAUCACUCUAGGAUCUUUGCAAUGGUCCUGCAAUUUGCCUUCCUUUCUAUUAGGUUAGCUGUUUAUUCAAAAGAAAAAAAAUUGGGGAAAUGGAAACCUCACCCUCUUAAUACAGAUUUUGAAUUUUAUUAUUAUUAUUCAAAAUUAGAUAACUAUGCAAAUAAUGGGCGGUUAUAACCAGUGAAACUGUGUCUAGCUACGACGCAGGUUUAAUUUUCUCUUGAUUAAAUAUAUAAACAAAACUAAAUCACCUGAGCCUCUGGUUUCACUAUUUUUCAACUUGAAAUUAAAACGCAAAAAUUGAUGGUAUUGGAGUUCGUUGUUUAGUUUUGCUGUAGGUCAUGGGGAAUCAAAUAGCCAUCCAUUUUUAAGUCUAUUUUAUGUACUAUUGGUCACUAAGUAUUGGGAUGUCAUAGGCCCUAAAAGAAAAAGCUGAAAAUCAAUCCCCUAUCUAAAGUGGAAAACAGUAGCUAGAACAGAAUCUAUGGUUUGAUGUCUUAGUGUAUAGGCUUAAACAAUUAAUAGUAUAGAAAAUGCAUGAUAGAAUUCAUAUUUUAGCAAUAAUCCUCACCUCACUGGCCGUUAGUUCAGAAUGACAAUUCUUAUUAGUCAAAGAAUCAAGAUGAUUUUUAGUUGUAUAUGAAUAGCGCAGUAGAUCAACAAAUAAUUGAAGACUUGCUUUUGCUAUUGAACCACGCGAUGGCAAUUCGAAGACUACAGCUUAGCUCUGCCAUUCGAAGUAAGCAAAUCAGCUGCCCAAAGACUGCCAAGCCAUCAAGACAAUACCAAGAUACAACAUCAAGAAUUACAUACAGGCCGUCACAUAUUACAUUUCUCCUCUGUUUUAAGAGAGAUUUACGAGCCCAUGCAGUAGAAGUAAUUAAUUAAUUUAUACAGUUCAGUACUCAUUCCUCCUCUGUUUCAAAUCCAAAUCCACUGCUCUGCCAUUUAUUAUGACGCAGGGUAUAUGGGUUAGCAAGUGUCGAUAUUGUCCUUCAUCCUUUGUGUACCUUUCUUCUAACAAGGGACAGCACGAGAUCUCUAAUCACAAAAGAGAGGCAGGCAGGCCGUUCGCUGGAAAGUACUUGAGCUUGGGACAAUUACAGAGUUUCAAUGAAAUGAGGUUUUGAUGAUCAACAAUUGAAGAAGACAGGCGUUCCAAAUUUGGUAAAUCAACAAUCACCAAAUAUGCUAGAGUGGCAGGAAGAGGAAGCGUGGCUCCUAAUCCUAAUCUUGAUUUAGUAUUGCGUAUGUAACAUGUGGCAUUCUACAUUCUUGCAAUGCCAUUUCUUGUUAUGGCAGUAGCGUUCUUUCACCAUGGCAUCGCAAGCAAAUAUUUGACUUGAAGACUUGCUUUGCCAAGAAAAAUAAGGAGAGCAAAGGUAAUUGAUUUUGGUGUGAUGAAUAUUUUUAUGGGUGUUCUAAGAAAAAUAAAGAUAAUAGAAGUAAUGUUAUCGAGGAGUAUUUUGAUAUUUACAAAAGUGUUCAAAGAAAAAAGUGAUUUUUUGAAAUCUAUUUGCUGGUGAACAUAAUAAAAUGGCAUUCCGACUUCUGCGUAAAUUUAAAACUACAAAUAGUUUUACUCUUUUAAUAAUAUUCUUCAAUUAAUUCUGUUUCUUUCACAAUAAAAAAUCCAUCUCUUUAUUACUUUCUAACUAGUCAUACUAAUGUGUUAAUAAUGAAGAACCAGCGUAAUUUAUAUGAUAUAAGAAGCCCUUUAGCACAUUAACCCGAAUUUAGCUAAUGCAUGUGCCUAAUAUAGCGAAAUCAACAUUCGGCUCAUUAGAAUGCCAUUAUAUAUACUGAAAAAGAAAUUAAUACAAAAAAAAACUGAAUAUUAAUUGACACUGGAUCAUGUUGGAUUGUUAGUUGUUAAUUAUGAUGGGAAUACAAUUUUCAUCUUUUGAUUAUCCGCUAACUAAUGCAUGUGCACUUUCAUUUGUGUCUAUAUAUACAAAAACUUGUAUCCCAUGGUUUACAUAUGUAUGAAGAUAAUGUAAUAAAGUGCUUUUGAUAAAUUCCCCUGGUCUGUUUACUUCACUAAUUCAUUAAUGUGCAAGUCCUCUAUAGAGCUGUGUUGUGCGUACAAGUUUUGCUACAUGAAAUCGUUAGGUGAGGAGAAUUUUUAAAAGCAUACAUCAAAGUAAUGAUUAAAGGGACAAAAUCAACAUAAAUAUUGAUUAUCUUGAGUUAGAUUACACAAAGAUGAUAAUGUAGUAAAUUUAUCAUAAUACACUACUAAAAAAUGCAUUUUAAUGACACAAAUUUUAUGACAUACAUCUUUAUGUCAUGAAAAUACUUGCAUGAUGUAUAAUGCUUCUGUGAUUAUUUGAUGAUAAAUUCAUAAUUGAUGCAGAUACAAAAUGAAGUGAUGAUAGGUAAAUAUCAUGUGAUUUUUUUUAUGGGUAAGAAUAUUUGAACCCACCAAAUUACUCUUUAAACUUACUUUUUUAUUGAUAAUUUUAUUACAAAAUUACUGANNNNNNNNNNNNNNNNNNNNNNNNNNNNNNNNNNNNNNNNNNNNNNNNNNNNNNNNNNNNNNNNNNNNNNNNNNNNNNNNNNNNNNNNNNNNNNNNNNNNNNNNNNNNNNNNNNNNNNNNNNCCGCAAAACUCAAUCAAAGUAUGCUUAUUUUCUUCUUCUGCACAAGUGUAGCAAAGUUUUUAAUAAGUUCCUCCUUCAUCCACAGUUGAGAACUUUCUAACUUUUGUUUCUUGUUCUAGUAAUUUGGAUAUGCUGUGUUAGAUACUGAAUUUAUUAAAUUUCUUCUUCUCUUUUGAAUAAAAUCUCUUUAAAAUUCAAUCCAUAAAAAAAAAAUUAAUCUCCUUAUAAUUUAAUAUGUUUCGGCUGUCUUAGUGGAAUGAUGCAAUUUGUGUCAAUCAAAGUUUUGAAGCAUCCUAAAUUAUAUAUUUUUUUGUUUAAUUUGUUUAGAGUUCAAUUGUUUAGAUCUAGGCUAAUUUUUAUUGAUAAUAUUUAUGAUUAAAUUAUAUGAGUAUGCUUAAAUUUUUUUUUCCUUCAAAUUUAUUUUCUGAUGUUGCAUUUGGUUAGCAAAAAGAUAAAAAUAGUAGAAAAUGUCCGAAUUAUUGUUAUGAAAAUGUUGUUUUAGUCUGAUAUUGGGAAAAUAUCCUUAUACAUAUCGGCAUGAUAUUCAUGGGAGACCAAAUUGAGAAUGAUGGCAGACUAUGCAUUGCUCACAACUAAUUUAAAACUCACUAUUUCUAUUGUUUGUGUUUUAGUAACUUUGGGGGAAUUCCAACUAUAGUUAAUAAGCUAUAAACUUGUUUAGGAUUACUAAUCAACUUGCUAGAAAGAGUUGCAAACUAAUUAGCUUUCUCUUAUAACUUUUACAGAUCAUCUGUGGAGGAGAACUGCAAGGAGUUGAAGACUCUAGACCCUAAACUUCAUAUCUUGAUUUAUAAGUGCAAUGGCCAUAAGUCCGAAUUAUGGGCUGGAGAUGGUAUAUGUAAUCUUUCUGCUCUUGGUGUUUUUUUUUUUUUCCCCUCUAGUUAUUUUUUGCUCUCUACUCCAUUGUAUAUUUGUAUUCAAAAGUAUUUUUUUCUUUGUUUUAAGCUUUCAAAUUUAUGGAGAUGAUCUUAUUAGGUGUUAAAAAAAUAGUUGUAGAGCUUUACUAAAACUAUGUAAACUCUUAUUGAGAUUUGGGUUUGAUUUUGUAAGAUUGCUAAAAAUUUCAUAUUUUAUACUUGUUUUAUACUUUUCUAGUCGAAUUUCUUGCUUGUGGAAGAUAAAAUAAAAGUCCAAUUCAUGUUGUAAAAUUUUUUUUUCCUCCCUUUUUUCUUCCCUUAUAAUCUGGCUCUGGUUUUGGUGCAGUUUAUGGUUUCAAUGCAGGGAACCAAUUUCAUCAGAAUCAUCUUAAAGGAUCAAAGUGGCUUCCUUUUGUAACUGGGUAAGUCAAUGCUACUUCCUGAAUUCGAUUUGGAGUUCUUUCGGAAUAGAUUUCCUUCCCUUACAUCACUUGGCUUCUAGUUGCAUCUUCUUGGCUUUCUCCAACGGACUUUUUUAUUGGCAAAUUCGUUUGUUUCUAUUGUUUUCAAGUGCUAGUGCUGGAUUUGGAGGUAUGAAUGGUGCCUUCAUUUUUAUUUUUUUAAUUUUCUUUUGGGUGUAUAGUACUGUAAUAUACUUCUUUGUAUAGCUAGUACAAAAUAGUUCUUUAAUUUUAUUUGUCAUGAUUUAUUUCUAUUGCCUGGUGAUGACACCCAUCACGACUUAGUAGUCGUGAAUAAAUCGAAAAUCAAAUUGCACUGGUUUUUACCGGUUAUCAACAAUUGUGAUGUUUUGAGAUUAUAACAUACUUGACAACGCCGACUAGCGUUCUCUCCUAUGUGAAUUGGGACAAAAAUUAUUUUCCCAAUCACGCUUUCGUUUGAACAAUUCCACUUCAGAUAUAUAAAAUAAUGAUGAAAUUGUGUUUUAAAAUUAGUUACGAGUAAUUGGUUCAAUAUUAAUACAAAACUAUUUUAAGUAACACGUGGCAUAUUCUAAUUCCAGUGAGCUUCUAACUCAGAUUCCCAAAUCAAAAGAAACGUUUCAAUUUUCUCCAGAACGUUCUGCAAAACAUUUCUUCGAGUCUCUACGUUGUGCUAGAAUUUUCUCUCAGUUUCUUUUCCAUAGACUUCUAAAAAACUGUCCAGAUACCGAGAUAUAAUCCAAUCUAAGUGUACAUAUUGUAAGAAAAACGAUACACAGUGAGAUAACAAUUUAAAUAGUAGCUAAUUUAAACAACAAUGUAAACUAGCAAUGGGAAACAACAAAUGAAGAACUGAAGAGAAAGGAGACCAAAACAGAAAUAUAAACCCGAGGCCUGCGGACAGUUUCCUUAAACAUAUUUACCCCCUCUUGGAGUGCUUUAGGUCAGCUGGUAUCUGUUUCCCAGGAUACAACAGGCACGAAUUUUCGGCUAAGCACAGGCUAGAAAUUCUGGCGAACCACAACAACGAGCUCGAUCAGAGAAAACAGACGACGAAGAUGGAGGAAGGAAAAUAAGUGUGCUGGUUUUUUCAGUGUGCAAAAAAACAGAAGAGGAGAUGCCUUUUUAUAGUCAUAUGAGGAUGUAACAGCUACUUUGUAUUGAAUUUCUGAAUUCAAUAUAUUUUAUUUAAUUGUUAUAACAGCCAAAUCAAUUCAAUGAAUUGAUUUCAAAAUUGAAUUAAAAAAAACGUGAAUUAUAUAACAGCUAAAAAUAAUUGUUGAAGCUGUUACAAAUCCUUUGAAUUCAAACGUGAAACUGUUACAAUAAAAAAAAUUUUAAAAGGAAAUUAAAAACAUGCCAAGCUUGCAUGGAUGAUUUUGGGCUGACAUUCGCGUACGCAGACGAGUUCAACCAAAUUGGUCAUGGAUUUGCACCCCCCUGCACACGCGCACGUGGAGAGAGCCUCUAUCCUUAUAAUUCUUGAACAAGCAUGGUUAAGUGUUUAUAUAUAAACACUAAUCCCUAGGCUUCUUUUUCCCAUGUGGGAUAAGCCUAAUUUCUUUUCAAAUUUCCAACUUCAAAGGUGAACUUUGAGAGACAAUUUCUCAUUCACCCAAGCACCAUUUUGAGAAAAUAAGAUUAUACUUUUGAAGUAUCAAAGGAGUAGAAUCCGAACCUCACAAGAUUUUCCACUUUCGUUAAGUGGGACCCACUCAAAAUAUGCCCUCAAAAUAGCAUCUAUAUAUGCUAUUUUUUCAACAAUCCCCCACAUGAAUGAAAAUUGGCAGUAAAACAAAAAACCGCUAUAUUUUUUUUACAUCAAAACCAUUUUUGACCUUAAUGAUUGAGUUUAUUGGAUUGAUACCUAGCACAUGAUAGGUUGGUGUUAUCCUUUUAACCUUCCCUUGUAAUAGUAUAAUUACUUUACUGGCUGAUCAGUAGACGCGAUGUCUUUGAACUGUGCGGCCGUUAGUGUAAACGAUCAUAUACUACACAUAGGUAUUUCUCCUAACACUGUUGAGUUCUCAUGGUUAUGUUCGUUUUGGCCUUGAACAUCUACCUGGUUCUGCAAGAGUUUCUAAGAGCUAAACCCAUCAUAGCUCCCUUUGAAGCGGCCCCACUUCUCUCUCACAUAGGUGAUAUCUUAAUUAAAAGUAACCCGCAUUACUCCGCUCGAAUUUUCCGACGCAUAAGAAUCAUUAAGAGCCUAGCUCAACCUUAUUCCCCACGAGCAUCAUUGUUUCAUAAUAUGAAUGGUCAAUGAGGUAAUCUUCUCAAGAGAAUAAACCCCACAAUAAUCCAACUUUAGUCUUUAACAAAUAGGUUGUUCAAUUGAACCUAGAUCUUGGGAUCUCCAGUCUACUAGGUUGGGUUUUCCUUCGUUAUUGACUAAUCAAUCUAUGAGUUUUAAUCCCAUUCCCCUCGAUGAUUUUUCUACUAGCUCUCUAUUUAACCCUUUGGUUAGCGAAUCCGCAAUGUUAUCCUUUGACCUCACAUAGUCAAUAGAAAUAACUCCAGUAGAAAUAAGUUGUCUAAUGGUAUUAUGUCUAUGACGUAUGUGUCUAGACUUACCAUUAUACAUAUUGCUUUGUGCCCUACCGAUAGCUGAUUGACUAUCACAAUGUAUACAAAUCGAAGGCACAUGCUUUGGCCACUUUGGAAUACCUUUUAAAAAAUUGCGUAGCCAUUCUGCUUCUUCACCACAUUUAUCUAAUGCAAUGAAUUCAGAUUCCAUUGUAGAUCUAGCAAUUACUGUCUGUUUAGAAGAUCUCCAUGAUACAGCUGCACCUGCUAGUGUAAAUACAUAGCCGCUAGUGGAUUUUGAAUCUUUUACAUCUGAUAUCCAGUUAGCAUCACUAAAUCCUUCUAAUACUUCUGGAUACCUAGUAUAGUGCAGUCCAUAAUUACGAGUGUAUCGAAGAUACCUAAGUACUCUUACGAUAGCUUUCCAGUGAUCAGUUCCUGGAUUACUCGUAUAUCUACUAAGUUUACUUACCGUAUAGGCUAGAUCUGGUCUGGUACAACUUGUUAAGUACAUCGGACUGUCUAUUAUUCUAGCAUAUUCUACUUGAGAAAAACCCUCUUCUCUAUUUUUCGAUAAAUGGAUACUAGUAUCUAAUGGAGUUUUAGACAUAAUAUUAUCAUUUUUAUUAAAUUUUCCAAGAAUUUUAUCUACAUAAUGAUUUUGACUUAGAAUAAGUCCAUUAGAAGCCCUUCAGAUUUUAAUUUCCAAAAUGACAUUUGCAAGACUCAUGUCUUUCAUGUCAAACUUAGACUUCAACAUAUUCUUGGUAGAUUUAAUCAUGUCAUCAUCACUUCCAACAAUGAGCAUGUCAUCAACAUAUAAACAUAAAAUGACAUAGCCAUUUUCCGUUUCUUUGACAUAAACACAUUUGUCACACUCGUUGAUUUUAAAACCACUUGUGAUCAUCAUAUGAUCAAAUUUCUCAUGCCACUGUUUCGGUGCUUGCUGCAAGCCAUAUAAUGACUUUACCAAUUUACAAACUUUCUUUUCUUGUCCUGGAGCUAUAAAACCUUCAAGUUGCUCCAUAUAGAUUUCUUCAUCUAAAUCUCCAUUUAGAAAAGCCGUCUUUACAUCUAUUUGAUGUAUCUCGAGAUUGCGCAAAGCUGCAAUUGCUAUUAUCAUCCGUAUGGAAUUUAUUCUCAUAACAGGAGAAUAAGUAUCAAAGUAAUCAAGGCCUUCUCGUUGCCUAUUACCUUUAAUUACAAGCCUAUCCUUGUAUUUAUUGAUUUAUCCAUCAGCUUUCAUUUUCCUUUUGAAAAUUCACUUAUACCCCAAAGGUUUACAUUCUGGAGGAAGAUCUGCUAGCUCCCAAGUAUGAUUUUGUAAAAUGGAUUCAACUUCACUGUUAAUGGCUUCUUUCCAUAAAGUGCCUUCAGCUGAAGUUACAACCUCUUUGAAGCUUUGAGGUUCACUUUCUAGCAAAUACGUCAGAAAGUCUAGACCAAAAGACUUUUCUAUCCUAGCUGUUUUGCUACGUCUAACCUCAAUUUCUUGUUCUUGAUCUUCUUCUUCUUCUUCUUCUGGUGCUUCAUCAUUUUCUUCAUUUCCAAGUGUUGUUUCAUGAAAUUGUCGCAAUUCUCUCGAUUCCACUCUAGAAUUGCAAGGAAACACAUGUUCGAAUGAUGCAUUUCUUGAUUCUAUUAUCAUAUUUUUGUGGACAUCUGGAACUUUAGACUUAUGUAACAAAAAUCGAUAAGCACUACUGUUUUGUACAUAACCAAUGAAAAUGCAGUCAACAGUUUUUGGUCCUAUUUUCACUUUUUUAUUGAAGGAACCACUACUUUAGUAAGACACCCCCACACUCGUAAGAAUUUAUAUGAAGGUGAUCUAUUUUUCUAUAGCUCAUACAGGGUUUUAUCUUCUUGCUUUCAGGGUAUCUUAUUUAAUAAAUAAUUAGCUGACAAAACAGCUUCUCCCCACAUAUUCUGGGGUAACCCAGAACUUAUCAACAUUGCAUUCAUCAUUUCCUUUAAAGUUCGAUUCUUUCGUUCUGCAAUCCCAUUAGAUUGAGGUGAAUAUGGAGUCGUGACUUGAUGUAUGAUUCCAUUUUGUUCACAUAGUGACAUAAACAUAACAACAUACUCACCACCACGGUCACUCCUUAAUUCUUUGAUUUUUCUAUUAAGUUGAUUCUCAACUUCAUUUUUGUCGAGAAUAAACUUUUUCAAAGCUUUAUCUUUACUUUUCAAUAAAUAUACAUAGCAAUAUUUUGUGCAAUCAUCUAUAAAGGUAAUAAAAUAUUUAUUAUCACCUCUUGUUUGAAUGGAUUUAAAGUGACAAAUAUCAAUAUGUAUUAAAUCAAGUGGUUCGGUGUUUCUGUUAAUUAUUUGGAAAGAUGACCUAGUUAGUUUUGCCUCAACACAAGUUUCACACUUAUGUUUCAAAUCAAUUUGGAAAUUGGGAAUAUGCUUCAUGUUAAUUAAUUUACGCAAAGAUUUAAAAUUAACAUGUCCUAAUCUACCAUGCCAAAGAUUAGAAGACUCAAGCAAAUAAGCAGAAGAAGUAGCUUUAUUAUUAAUUAUUGGUUUCAGAGUCAUUACAUUGAGCUUAAAUAGCCCAUCAUUAACAUAACUCUUUCCCACAUACAUCCCAUUUUUAGACAAAACUACCCUAUCUGACUCAAACACCAUUUGGAAGCCAUGUUUGUUCAACAGCGAUCCAGACACCAAGUUCUUCUGAAUUUCUGGCACAUAAAACACAUUGUUCAGAGUCAGUUCUUUCCCAGACGUCAUCUUCAAAAUCACCUUCCCUUGACCAUCAAUCUCAGACGUAGCCGAAUUCCCCAUGAAUAGCUUCUCUCCAUUGCUAACUGCUUCAACUGAAGUGAACAAUCCUUUGUCCGAGCAAACAUGUCUGGUUGCUCCCGUAUCAAUCCAUCAUUCUCUCGGAUUAUAGCCAACCAGAUUCACUUCUGAAACCACUGUAGAGAGGUUUAUGUCUGAAACAUGUUGAGUGAUGUUUUCCAUCACAUUCUCCUCUCGCUUCUUUUUAGGCAACCUGCAAUAUGAAGCAUUGUGACCCAUCUUAUCACAAUUAAAACAUUUUCCUUGAAACUUUGUUUACUUCUUGGAAAUUCCUCCUUUCGGACCCAUUUUUUUAUUUUUAUUUUUAGGUCCAUGUUCGACAAAAUUUGCCUUUGCCAUAGAAAUAACUCCUUUUCUUUUUGCAUUUCUGUUAUCUCCCUCAAUUCUGAACUUAACAACCAGCCCUUCAAUAUUCAUCUCCUUUCAUUUGUGCUUCAAAUAGCUCUUGAAAUCUUUCUAAGCAGGAGGCAAUUUUUCAAUAAUUGCGGCAACUUGAAAAGUUUCACUUAGAUGCAUCCUUUCUGCAAGGAUUUCAGAUAAUAUAAUUUGAAGCUCUUGUACUUGACUUAUUAUAGUUUUAGAAUCCACCAUUUUAUAAUCUAGGAAGCGACCAACAACAAACUUUUUGGUUCCCGCAUCCUCGGUUUUAUAUUUCCGGUCAAAGGAUACCCAUAACUCCUUGGCUGUUUUCUUUCCUAUGUAUACAUUAUACAAGGAAUCACUAAGGCCAUUCAUUACAUAAUUUUUACAUAAAAAAUCUUAAUGAUGCCAUGCAUCAAUUGCACUUGCAACUUGAAUAUCCGUUUCACCCUCUUUAGGUUUAGGAGCAUUCUCGAUUAAGAAACUUGCAAGGUUCAACAUGGUCAAGUAAAAGAAUAUCUUUUGCUGCCAACGUUUGAAAUUCUGGCCAUUGAAUUUUUCAGGCCCUUCCGCAUGAUUGACAGGAAUUGCCACAGAGGCUGGUUCCUUUACAACAGUUGGUGCAGCAACAGAAGAUGAAACUGGGACAUACGGAAUAUCAUCAAUGGUUUCAGUUGCCAUCUCAAUGAUAAUUGAUUCUGUUUUAAGAUUGUAAAAAAAAUGAUACACAGUGAGAUAAUAAUUUAAAUAGUAGCUAAUUUAAACAACAAUGUAAACUAGCAAUGGGAAACAACAAAUGAAGAACAGAAGAGAAAGGAAACCGAAACAGAAACAGAAACAUAAACCUGAGCCCUGCAGACAGUUUCCUUAAAACAGAUUUACCACUCUUGGAGUGCUUUAGGUCAGCUGGUAUCUGUUUCCCAGAAUACAACGGGCACGAAUUUCCGGCUAAGCACAGGCUGAAAAUUCCGGCGAACCACAACAGCGAGCUCAAUCAGAGAAAACAGACGAUGAAGAUAGAGGAAGGAAAACAAGUGUGCUGGUUUUUUCAGUGUGCAAAAAACAGAAGAGGAGGUGCCUUUUUAUAGUCAUAUGAGGAUGUAACAGCUGCUUUGUAUUAGAUUUCCGAAUUCAAUAUGUUUUACUUAAUUGUUAUAACAACCAAAUCAAUUCAUUGAAUUGAUUUUAAAAUUGAAUUAAAAAAACAUGAAUUAUAUAACAGCUAAAAAUAAUUGUUGAAGCUGUUACAAAUCCUUUGAAUUCAAAACGUGAAUCUAUUACAAUAAAAAAAUUCAAAAGGAAAUUAAAAACGUGCCAAGCUUGCAUGGAUGAUUUUGGGCUGACAUUCGCGUACGCAGACGAGUUCAACCAAAUCGGUCUUGGACUUGCACCCCCCCUGCACACGCACGUGUGGAGAGAGCCUCUAUCCUUAUAAUUCUUGAACAAGCAUGGUUAAGUGUUUAUAUAUAAAUACUAAUCCCUAGGCUUCUUUUUCCCAUGUGGGAUAGGCCUCAUUUCCCUUCAAAUUUCCAACUUCAAAGGUGAACUUUGAGAGACAAUUUCUCAUUCACCCAAGCACCAUUUUGAGAAAAUAAGAUUAUACUUUUGAAGUAUCAAUGGAGUAGAAUCCGAACCUCACAAGAUUUUCCACUUUCGUUAAGUGGGACCCACUCAAAAUAUGCCCUCAAAAUAGCAUAUAUACAUGCUAUUUUCCACUUUCGUUAAGUGGGACCCACUCAAAAUGUGCCCUCAAAAUAGCAUAUAUACAUGCUAUUUUUUCAACACAUAUCUCUCUAUGUCACCUCCCUCCAUUUCACCAGAAAAUCAACAAACACUUAGCUUCAAAACAAACACUCUAAAAAAGCUAGCUAGUUGAUGGCAAAAUCAAGAAUUCUUGCAAUGGCAAUGUUGUUUCUUGUUAUGGCAGCAACAUUGAUGAACAUGGCAUCAAAGCAAAUGCUCUGAUGCUGUACACACGAUCACCUUUCUUUGACGUAAUGUUCCCAAUGACGGAAGAUCCUUUCAGGGUUCUUGGACAAACCCUGUUAACAAUCCCAAAAGGAGCUGAACAUCAUCAAACUCUAGCACUGGCGAGAGCAAACUGAAAUGAGACACCAACAUCACACGUGAUCACACUCGACAUUCCAAGGAUGAAGAAAGACGAUGCGAAGAUAGCAGUUGAAGAGAACAGGGUACUGAGGGUGAGUGGGGAGAGGAAGAGCGAUGAUUAUUAUAAGGAGGAAGUUGAAGGAGAAAAAUGGCACAGAGUUGAGAGACCAUUUGGCAAGGUUUGGAGGCAGUUCAGGAUGCCUAUGAGUGCUGACUUGGAUCAUGUUAAGGCUCAUUUGGAAAAUGGUGUUCUAAGGAUCACAGUGCCAAAACUUGUUGAGGAGAAGAAGAGGCCGCCUAAGGUUAUUAACAUUGAUGAAGAGCCUGGUAAUUCUUCCGAUGAAGAUGUUAAGGCCGCCAAGGCUCAAAUGUAAUUGAUUAAAGAAAGAAGUGUUUGAUUUGCUUGAUGUGCUAUUUGUUUUGUGAUCUUUUCUUGGUUUUGUUGUGGGAUGUUUUUCUUUGGAUGUUCUGUUUAUUGUAUUUUGAUGGAUUUUUAAAGAUGGCUUUUAUGUAUUAACAACAAUAAAGUGUUUUUUAUAAAUCCGGGUCCUAAAUUUGUAAAAGAAAUUAAUAAUACUCUUGGUUUAUUGUUAAUAAAAAUAAAAAAGAAGAAUCUUUUUCUUUAGCAUAUAUUAUGCAUUUUAAGGAAAAAAAAAAUUAUCACAUUCUAAUACAUAAAGAUAUUCCUCUUCUGUCAUAUUAAUGUGUUAAUACGAAGGUCUAUUGGAAUUAUAAUAGUUUAGAUGAAUCCAAAAUAUUCAAUAAUUGAUAAAUAGUAUAUUGACACACAGAAAAUGUGCGUGUGUAUGUAUAUAAAUGAGGUUUCAACAGCUGAGAAAGAGAUAGCCAUUAUACAUUACACAUUUGCACUCAAUAAGAAAUCAAUUCAUUAAUAUAGCCAUUAAUACGCCUGGUUUAUUGUUAAUGAAAAUUAAAAAAGAAAAAAAGUCUUUUCUUUGGCCUUUAUUAUGCAUUUUAAGAGGAAAAAAAAUUUAUCCCACUCCAAUUCAUGAAGAUAUUCUCUUUUCUGUCAUAUUGAUGUGUUAAUAUGAAGAUCCAUUGCAGUUGGUGAAUUCAAAUAUUCAGUAACUGAUGAAAUUGUAUUUAUAAAUUCAUACUAAUAGCAAUUGAAGAUUAUAAUUAAUUUUGUAAUAUGGUCUAGCCCUCCUGUGUUUAAUUAGCACUCAAAAACCACUUUACAAUAGGGCAUUAAAAGAACAUUAUAACGUCAUUGCUGAUGAGUUCUGGCGAAGACAUUAAGUUAAGGCCACAAAAAUCGAAAUGCACGUAGCUUCGUUUGUUUUUUAUUUUUGAUUCUCUUUGGGGGCAAAUGCUUGGCUUCGUUUGCUUUUUCGUUUUUGAUAUUUUAUUGGGCUUUAUUGUGUGGCAUCUUCUUGUUUUCUUUUGAUUUUCUGUUUUGGUUGUUAUGGGAUUUGAUGACGACGUACAUGUACGAAGAUUAUAUAAUAAAAUGUUUUUGAUAAAUUAUGGUCGGUUUAGAAUUAAUUAACUAAAUUUAAUUUACUUGAUCAAUUGAUAUUUGUAAGCAUUGUUGUUAUACAAACACAACAAAAGAAGAACAUUAAUGUACUAAUUAAUUACUAAUAAGAACAUUAAUAACUUUUGCCGAAGAAGAGAAAUAUUACACAUAUGUAACCGUGCAGCAUAUGUAACCGUGCAGCUAAAUAAAAGAAACUGAAGUUUAUUUCAACAGCUAAAGAAUGAGAUACGCAUAAGAAAUUAAUCCAUUAAUUAAUUAAUUAAUUCAUAGUCCCCCGCUGCUAAAAUAAAGCGAGCGUCUUACUCUACCUAACAUUUUUCCUUUUAUUAAUUUAAAAUAGUUUUCAACUGAGAUUUGAAUUUUAAAAUUACACGCUUGAUUUAGAAGAAAAAAAAGUCAAAUAUAUGUAACCGUACCGCGGAAAAGACAAAUAUAAGAAACUGAAGUUUCAACAGCUGAGAAUGAGAAAUUAAUUCAUUAAUUAAUUAAUAGAGUCCUCCUUUGCUAAAUAAUGCGAACCCAUUGUUCUUUUUAUUUCCAAAACCCAUUAAUCACCAACACAUAAUACACGCCCAAUUUAAAAAAAAAACUAAUAAUAAAAUAUUUCAGUCUUCCUUUGUUGAGUCGUCAUUAAAAACCCAUUUACCAGCUAUUCGAGCAUAAGGUAUAUGGGUUAACAAGUCCCAAUAUUGUCCUCCAUCCUUUCUGCACUUCUCUUCUAUCAACGGACAGCGAUAGAUUCUUAAUUGCAAAAGUGAGGAAGGCAGGCCCUUCUCCGGAAAGUAUUUGAGCUUGGGACAAUCAUAGAGUGUCAAUUUAGUGAGGUUUUGAAGAUCAACAAUUGAAGAAGAUAGGCUUUCCAGAUUUGGAAAAAAGGCAAUGCUCAGAGAUGUUAGAGAGGCAGGAAGAGGAAGCGUGGUCCCCAGUCUUCUGUCCUCUGGCUCUGGUGGAAAUGACACCAUGUCGUCAUCGCAUCCUCUGAUUAAAAGAUAUCGCAGAGAGGAGAAUCUGUGAAAUCCCCGGCCCCGCUCAAUCAUUGACUUCCAAAUCCCCAUAUUACCCUCAAUCCUCAGUGAAUGAAGGUUGGUGGGAAGGCCAUCUUCUUCAAGGCUUGGAAGCUCACCUCCUAUUAUUGUUAAUUGUUGAAGAGAGGUCAGAUUGUGCAAUCCCUUGGGUAAGGCCUCUAGUCUCUUACAAUCAUAUAUCUCCAGCCUCCUGAGUUUCGCACAAGGCAAUCCCCCUUUGGGAAAGGACUCCAGAUUUCCACAACCCCCAAUACCAAUCUGUUGAAGCUGGCACAGAUUAUGUAAACCACUCGAUAAAAUUUUCAGAUUUUCACAGUUAGAAAUGUUGAUUGUUUCAAGAGAUGUGUUGUUGUCCAACCUUUCUGCUAUUGACUG
rnacentral:lncRNA from 1 species